ACCCACCGGCGGGAUUCAUGAACCUCAAUUAAUAAAAGGUGUUUUCGUUAUGCUGAGAUAAUCGGUGAGUUCGAAAAGAAGGGCGUUCUCAUCAAGAGGAAAAAAAAGAAGUUAUUAUUGUGAUUUAUUAUUCGAAAAAGCAAAUUUGUAAAGCAAAAUUGAAAACCAGAGUAUGAAUAUAAAUAUUUCAGUGAAAUAUAUCUCUAUUAUAUAAGCCAGCUCCUGAGGGUAUUUAAGUAAAUUAACUUUUCGUGUCCACCAUUUAAAUGUCUAAAAUACCCUCCAGCUCUUCACAAUCUCAUAUUACAAUAAUUCUGAUUAUUUACUAUUUUAAAAAACGAAUUGAUUGUUGAUUUUAAAAACUGAAUCUAUUUUUGGCUAAUUAGUUUAAACGUUUAUGGAGAUAUUUCAAUAAAUGUUAAUCAGGAAAUCAGGCAAGGAAUAUAACAAAGAAAUGGGAAGAAUCAUGUUAUUUUGAAAUCUUUCACAAAACAGAAAAAUCAGUAAAAAAAAAAAGUCAAAAUACAAAGCAAAUAAGGAAAUAUCAUCCAUAAAUACAGCCAAGAAAUAUACAUAUAAAAUCAACCAAGAAAUGACGCAUUAAUCUUAUUACAAAUUGUUACAAAUCAAAUCAGAAAAACUCCAGAAGAACUCCAUCACCGUUCUUCAAGUCGCCCCGAUACAGAUUUCAAAAUAUAAGAUUUCAAAGUAUAAGGUAUGUAAUAUAAUAUGCAUGCUUUAUUGAUUUUAAUAAAUUAUUUCAUAUUUUAAUUCAUGCUUAAUUCAUAUUUUAUUCAUGAUUUUAAUUCAUGUUUAUUUUUUAUGCAGAUUUCAAAAAGGUAUGCUUUAUUGAUUUUAAUUAAUUAUUUCAUAUUUUAAUCUCUUACUUGAUUUUAAUAUCUAAUUGCAUAUUUCAAAAUAUAAGACAUAACAUAAAUUUGUGUUAUUGGAAGUAUGAAUUGAAAAAUACAUGACUUGCAUCGGAUUUUAUGCAGAUUUUAAUUUUGGUUUUAAGUUCAUAACGAGAUACAAUAACCAACGAGUUACGGAUUUUAUUUUUGUUUUAAGUUCGAAGUUGAUUUGGUUGUUAAGUUCGUCAAGGCAUACAAUAAACCGACAUAAGGGUGACGGAGUAUCAUUAUACACCCUUUAUGCAUUUAUUUCCUAGCGGUGUACGACGAUAUGAUGUACGAGCUCGAUUGAUUCGUAAUUAAUUAUGAUGUUUUCAAUUACACUAAUCCAUGAACAACUAAGAAAAUUUGUAAUUGCUUUUUUCAAUUUCGGAGUAAGUGUUUUAUAUUAGUCAA